rnacentral:rRNA from 1 species
UACGUAGGGGCCGAGCGUUGUCCGGAUUCAUUGGGCGUAAAGAGCGUGUAGGCGGUUUGGUAGGUCCGCUGUGAAAACUCGAGGCUCAACCUCGAGACGCCGGUGGAAACCAUCAGACUAGAGUCCGGAAGAGGAGAGUGGAAUUCCUGGUGUAGCGGUGAAAUGCGCAGAUAUCAGGAAGAACACCCGUGGCUAAGGCGGCUCUCUAGUACGGUACUGACGCUGAGACGCGAAAGCGUGGGGAGCGAACAGG